CGCGGUGUGCCCGAGAGGAGAGGGAGCGGCCUGCAAAGCCGUCUACGCCGGUUCGAAUCCGGUCACCGCGU
rnacentral:tRNA from 1 species